CAGAGAGGGGACCUGAGUGGCUAUUUACGAGCACGUGAUUCCAAUAAACUUUGUUUUAUGGCUUGAGAGUUGACAAGCCAAAAUAUAAUUCCCACCAUAAAUUAGGUUAAGAGCAUACAAGUGCAGAUGCUUCGUUCCUGGAGCAGCGAUAGGGAAGUGAGAGGCUCCAGCCAGCGCCCGGGCUCUGAAGGAGACAGCUCUGCUCUCAGCUACCCUACACACUAGAAAAGAAAAACAGUUCUGGAGCACAAGGGGGAACCAGGGAGAGCCACUUUAACGCGACGAUCUCAGCCCAGGGCGGCUCGGUGGCCGCAAACAGCGCCUGCCUCGGGGUCUGCAACAUCAGUAGCAGCGGCAGCAGCGGGAUCCGAAAGUCCAGCGGGGCUGAGGGCCCAGAAAGAAGAAGGUCCUGGUUGCUCAGCUGCUCCGUAGCCCUGAUCCUGGCAAGAGAAUAAGGGGACAGUUGCUGUGAAUCGUCACCGAGCCUACCUGAACUGUCUCUGAAAGCCGGGCUUGGGGAGUUCCUGGUGGCUGAGCUGAAGAGAUCUGGGCUGGCAGCUGCCUGAGUGUCUGUUCUGGGUAGGACCCGAGGUUGUAACGUUGUCUAUAUAUACCCUGUAGAACCGAAUUUGUGUGGUACCCACAUAGUCACAGAUUCGAUUCUAGGGGAAUAUAUGGUCGAUGCAAAAACUUCAUGUCUCCGACAUAGCCAGAGACUGAGGCGCCGAGAGUAGUGGCAGCUGAGCCAGACAGCCACCUUUCUUUUUCAUUACCUUGGACUCCAGGAUGA